GGAUCCGCCCCCGCUACUCAGAAGGACGCCGAUGGCGCCAUAAAGUCCGUCGUCCCGCUCCCGCCGCCACGAAGCCCCGCGGCCGCCUGGGCUCCGCUCCCACUGCGAUCCCACCGCGUCCCUCCCGCCGGCCGCUGCAGCCUCUCCACCGGCGCCCAGGCCCCGUUGCCCGCUCCGCCCGCCCCGCCCCGCCUCACCCCGCCCCGCCAGACCAGACCACGCCCCUGGUGGAGCCACGCCCUCCUCCCCAGUCCCGGGAGGGCGGGGACCUCUAGACAGCGGGGAGACUUAGACAAAGAGAAGAUCCCCGGAAGGGAUACCCGGGACAGAUGCGCCGGGUGUGCACCAAAUUCAGAUAGCAGAGAAGAAAAGGCUGAUGGGGGCAUCUCGGAAAACGGGGUGCCCUGGGGACUACAGCCAGAGUGUCUCCCCUCCUUCCUCAUGCCGAGGAGGAUGUAGGGUCUGCAAGGGGACGCCUGGACCAACGUGCGGGAAUUCAGCAUUUCUCCUGCUCCUCUCCUCUUGCCCCCUGCCCCUAAUCUCGCCCGCAGCUGCCCGCACUGGGGAAGUCCCUCGGCCUUGAUCGGAUCUGUCCCAGAAGGAGCUGAAGAAUCAGCCAGCCAGAUUGACUUGGAAGAGAAGAAUUUGAUAGAAACAGGAAGAGCAGAGGACCAGCAAGGAUGCACCCUCAGAAAUGUUCAAGGUCACCAAUGGAGAGAUAGAGGGACAAGACAGACCCUAGUCUGGAGUCCUGGCCAUCCCCCAUGGCAGGCAGGUAAGGUGGUAGAAGGUGAUGUAGGGACUGCCCACAGAGAGACUUUGAACAAUGGUCAGAAGCCUGGCAACAUCCUAAGUGGAAAAGGAACUCAGGAAACAAUAGAGUCCUGGACCAGUGAAAAUGGUUCAGUGGGUAAAGGCACUUGCUGCCAAGCCUGACAACUAGUUGGAUUUCUAGACUUGACAGAGAUGUACAGAUAGAGACUCCUGACCUCUACACACACACCACAUACAAAAUAAAUUAAUAAAAUGAUGUAAUUAAAAAUAAAUA
rnacentral:lncRNA from 1 species